GAUGAACGCUGGCGGCGUGCCUAAUACAUGCAAGUCGAGCGAACAGACGAGGAGCUUGCUCCUCUGACGUUAGCGGCGGACGGGUGAGUAACACGUGGAUAACCUACCUAUAAGACUGGGAUAACUUCGGGAAACCGGAGCUAAUACCGGAUAAUAUAUUGAACCGCAUGGUUCAAUAGUGAAAGACGGUUUUGCUGUCACUUAUAGAUGGAUCCGCGCCGCAUUAGCUAGUUGGUAAGGUAACGGCUUACCAAGGCAACGAUGCGUAGCCGACCUGAGAGGGGGAUCGGCCACACUGGAACUGAGACACGGUCCAGACUCCUACGGGAGGCAGCAGUAGGGAUCUUCCGCAAUGGGCGAAAGCCUGACGGAGCAACGCCGCGUGAGUGAUGAAGGUCUUCGGAUCGUAAAACUCUGUUAUUAGGGAAGAACAAAUGUGUAAGUAACUAUGCACGUCUUGACGGUACCUAAUCAGAAAGCCACGGCUAACUACGUG
rnacentral:rRNA from 1 species